rnacentral:rRNA from 1 species
UACGGAGGGUGCGAGCGUUGUCCGGAAUCACUGGGCGUAAGGGGCGCGUAGGCGGCCGUGUAAGUCACUUGUGAAAUCCCGGGGCUCAACUCCGGAAUUGCCUUUAAAACUGCAUCGCUAGAGUUGUGGAGAGGUAAGUGGAAUUCCGAGUGUAGAGGUGAAAUUCGUAGAUAUUCGGAAGAACACCAGUGGCGAAGGCGACUUACUGGACACAUACUGACGCUGAGGUGCGAAAGCUAGGGGAGCAAACAGGAUUAGAAACCC